UACGGGGGGAGCAAGCGUUGUUCGGAUUUACUGGGCGUAAAGGGUGCGUAGGCGGGUUGGUAAGUCCGUGGUGAAAUCUCCAAGCUUAACUUGGAAACUGGCGUGGAUACUAUCAAUCUUGAAUAUCGUGGAGGUAAGCGGAAUAUGUCAUGUAGCGGUGAAAUGCUUAGAUAUGACAUAGAACACCAAUUGCGUAGGCAGCUUACUACACGAUCAUUGACGCUGAGGCACGAAAGCGUGGGGAGCAAACAGG
rnacentral:rRNA from 1 species